GGAAUAUAGCUCAGUUGGGAGACUGCUUGCUUCAUAUGCAUAAGGCCCUGGGUUCAAUCCCCAGCACCA
rnacentral:tRNA from 1 species